GACGUAGGGCGCGAGCGUUGUCCGGAUUUAUUGGGCGUAAAGAGCUCGUAGGCGGUCUGUUGCGUCGGCUGUGAAAACCCGAGGCUCAACCUCGGGCCUGCAGCCGAUACGGGCAGACUAGAGUUCGGCAGGGGAGACUGGAAUUCCUGGUGUAGCGGUGAAAUGCGCAGAUAUCAGGAGGAACACCGGUGGCGAAGGCGGGU
rnacentral:rRNA from 1 species